UACGUAGGGUGCAAGCGUUGUCCGGAAUUAUUGGGCGUAAAGAGCUCGUAGGCGGUUUGUUGCGUCGGCUGUGAAAUCCCGAGGCUCAACCUCGGGUCUGCAGUCGAUACGAGCAAACUAGAGUGUUGCAGGGGAGACUGGAAUUCCUGGUGUAGCGGUGAAAUGCGCAGAUAUCAGGAGGAACACCGGUGGGCGAAAGGCGGGG
rnacentral:rRNA from 1 species